AUUUACCUUGCUGAAUGGGUUUCCUCUAGAAUAUAUAUAUAUAUAUAUGAAAUUUUUUCCUAGAGUGCUACAAUGGAUACAAACACAAACUGACACAACCAAUGCAUAAGUUUGGCAUCAAUUCCAAUGGCUUUUGAGGCCUGGUCUCUUCCACACAACUGAGACAAAAUGUCAGGAAGAUGUUUUGUGGAUAGAUGUUCCUAGUGGUGAGGGGCAGGAUUUCCACUUUUUAGAAUUGAAUUGCUUCGUUCUGUGGCUAUGGAUCAAUGGCGUUGAAUGGACAGACAUGGUAAGAACAAUGUUCAUGCACUAUCACCUGCCAUGCCUUGGAAACUUGGUGGCAGGAUGGGAUUGUGUAUGGCUCGCCUCUUGCUUCCUGUCACACCUCCUCCUUUAAAGAUCGGCUUCUUUGGAUUUGUUGGUGGCUUGGCAAUGGAGUUCUAUGAUCCAGCUUGAUUGGGUUUGAAACUCAAUAUCGAUGCCUGUCGAGAGAGAGAGAUAGGGAGAAAGAGUGGUUUCAUCAACUUGCCCCUUCGCAUCUCAAAGGGCGUGAGCGCUCCAACCAAUCCUUCUACAGGGAAACUUUUCGACCUCCUCUGUUUGCUUAUCUGGAUUACGUCCUUGCUUAAGUGUUUGUUUCAACGGUGUCUUAUUUCACACAUCAGUUUCAACCUCAGCAUAUUUGUGUUCUGUCAAUCGAGUCUUAAAAUUUUACAAAAAAACGCGAAUCCUUUUCCUUGAUAAUAAUGCGUUGUGUUUAACCACAAUUAGAACCUGGUUCGAAGCAUAAGUUUGGUUAUCCAUGUGAGCAACUCCUGGGGUUUCCAGGCUUCAGAUUGGACGCAGCUUCGCCGCUGUCAAUAUGAACAUCAAUGCCAGGUCAUUUGCAGUUGUUGGUUGCGAAAUGUACCUUACAAAACUCGAGCUCGGAAACGGCUUCAAAACGUGACCUGAACAAAGCAAGACGUCGAGAGCGCGAAAACCGCAAUGAAGAGCAAGAGAAAACUAGGCUUCACACAUUCGAUUCAACUCCAUGGCUGAGCAGGAGCAGAAGCAGCAGGAAGCUUAAACCAUGCGAUUGCCAUGAGUUGGCACGGCUCAUGGAUGGAUCAGGAUGUGUACGCCUGUGAGGACGAGAAGGAGCUGGGGGAGUUGUCACCGCGAGCAAGCGAGACAUAUGCGAAGCUAGAGCUUCCGGAAGGAGCUCACCAGGGAUGCGGCCACCUGAUUCUCUAUGUGAAGGGCACUUGGUAUCCGACCCACUUCCUGCUUUCGGUGUUGGACGGCCAAGACACAUGGGACUUCAAUGGAGUUUGUGUGCCAUCAGGCGAAUGAAAUUGAGAUGGAGGCAAGAGAAUGGUUGAAUGAAGUGUACCUUUGCUUCAGCCAGCAACGCCCCUGCAGUUACUACUCUUUCGUAUCAACUGGGAGUAGCACCAAGAUGGCAAGUUUCUCAUCUUUUUGUGUUGUUGUUGAACUUGGUUUUGUAGUUUUGGGUUUCAUGUUUCCUUUCAUGUGGAGUAUGUGAUAUUACCAGGAAACUUUGCCGAAAGGAAUGACUGAUGCAAAGCAUUUGUGGUGGAAUAUUUGAUUUCAAAGUAUUUAUGAACACAGAGUAUGAUGUUUUGAUUUUUAUUUUUAUUUUUGUAAAAAUUUAAUGUAGA